CUGCCCGCCGCCUCCUUGCCCUCUCCUGCUGCCCCGGGCCCACUCGUGUCCUGCUCCUCCUGGAUGCCCCAGGGGGCUGAGCGAGCGCUCCGGCCAUCCUGCCCCAGCCCAUGGUCUCCCUCCUCAGAGCCCUGUCUUCCCUGAGUGUUUCCGUCACUUUCUGCGACAGGAUGCUAGUGCACAGCAAGCCUUCCAUUGGAGUCGAGGCCUGUUGUGACGGUGCCAGAGUGGGAGAGAGUGUGGCCUUGACUACCCACGGAGGAGCCCUCGAGCUCUCCCUUCUGUGGCCUCUGUUCUGCGCCAGGAGGACAGCCUGGAGGAAGAGGGAAUGGCUCCUGCCCUGACAGCCAGGUCCGGGAAGGAAUCAGUGACAUUCAAAGAUGUGGCUGUGGAAUUCACCCAGGAAGAGUGGGUACAAUUGAACCCAUCUCAGAAAAAUUGUACAGGGAUGUGAUGCUGGAGAACUAUAGGAACUUG